CUACAAAAUGCCGCCCUGCUCACCUCCCUGGCUGCCACACGACUACUCUAUGGCACAUCUCACAGGCCUCUCCCCCCCUUUGGACCAGGGGGGUCAUCCCAGUCUCCACUGGAGGAUACCGUUGCGGUCCUCGACGAAACCUGCAGGGCGAACUCCAAAUGCCACAAACCUAAAAUGGCCGCUGCACCGACUAGCCGACACGCAACACCCAGAGAAACCCCUCGCUACCAAAAAGCAACACCUGUAACCAGCUACCAGAUUCUACCUACCCAUGCCUCGAGCCAGGCGCUAUGGCACCCCACAUGGUAGCGCUAAACUCUGGAGGGAGGCCCAACGGCACCUGGCAGCCACCAGCCUAAUCCCUGGCAAGGUUGGGAGCAGCAGCUCAUCUACCUAGCUGGGAACGCAUGAGACACACAUCCAGCUCCUGGUCAGCCAACCACCCACUACUCCACAUCCGAGCUCAAGACUGGGAGAGAGCAGAGAUAGCACAACAUGAUUAACAUGGGGCAUGGAAGAACAUCCCGUCGGCUGACCACCUUGUCUUCCAGAGACACUCAACUACCUACCCGAAUUGGUGUCUGCGCCCAGUGGACAUACUCACAAGCCCUCAAAUGCACACUCUGGUUGUAUUAAUUGAAUUUAGGUUCAGCUGGUUAGCCAUUCCGAUAUUUGAUUUUUCAAAGAGCAGGAGGCACAGGAGGUUCAAACCUGUUCUUUUUAAAGUUUUCUCUUGGUAUUAUCUAUACAGUGUGUGGUACCCAGUGGAAUAUUAGCCUGUAUUAGCAUGUUUACCUAAUCUGAUACUUACUCAUACCUCCAUGUCUGGCUAGUUAUGCAAGUCUGAAAACUAAAUGUAUGCAUUUUUAGUUACCUCUCUU